GACGAACGCUGGCGGCGUGCUUAACACAUGCAAGUCGAACGGAAAGGCCCUGCUUUUGUGGGGUGCUCGAGUGGCGAACGGGUGAGUAACACGUGAGUAACCUGCCCCUGACUGUGGGAUAACUUCAGGAAACUGGGGCUAAUACCGGAUAUGAGCUCCUGCUGCAUGGUGGGGGUUGGAAAGUUUCGGCGGUUGGGGAUGGACUCGCGGCUUAUCAGCUUGUUGGUGGGGUAGUGGCUUACCAAGGCUUGGACGGGUAGCCGGCCUGGGAGGGUGACCGGCCACAUUGGGACUGAGAUACGGCCAGGACGCAUACGGGAGGAAGGAGUGGGGAAUAGUGCACAAUGGGCGGAGGCCGGAUGCAGCAACGCCGCGUGGGGAAUGACGGCCUUCGGGGUGUAAACCGCUUUCGCCUGUGACGAAGCGUGAGUGAGGGUAAUGGGUAAAGAAGCACCGGCUAACUACGU
rnacentral:rRNA from 1 species